rnacentral:rRNA from 1 species
UACGUAGGGGGCUAGCGUUGUCCGGAAUCAUUGGGCGUAAAGCGCGCGUAGGCGGCCCGGUAAGUCCGUUGUGAAAGUCAAAGGCUCAACCUUUGAAAGCCGAUGGAUACUGCCGGGCUAGAGUCCGGAAGAGGCGAGUGGAAUUCCUGGUGUAGCGGUGGAAUGCGCAGAUAUCAGGAGGAACACCAAUGGCGAAGGCAGCUCGCUGGGACGUUACUGACGCUGAGACGCGAAAGCGUGGGGAGCAAACAGG